rnacentral:tRNA from 1 species
UCCCUGGUGGCUCAGACGGUAAAGCAUCUGCCUACAAUGCAGGAAACCUGGGUUCAAUCCCUGGGUUGGGAA